rnacentral:lncRNA from 1 species
CUUAUUAGAGCUUUCUUACAAAUAGACGAAAGGUACGAACGAACGUAAAGGGAGCACGUAUUUCAUUUCUACAAUAACAGUUAAAAGAGUCUUUGUUUUAUCCAGUAAAACAGCAUUCUUUUCUAAAUCAAGUUUAUUUUAAAAAAUAAUAAUAUCGCAAAUAAUACACGAUUUUAAUAUAAUCAAACAGAGAAAAAUAGUGUCAAAUACACUUACGUCCGAUACGUUACUUCCGUAAACCACGAGUACACACAUUUCCGCGGG